AUGGUGGGACGCGCAGAGGUCGAGGACGUACGCUACUUAGAGAGUUAUACGAGUUAGAUCCAGUCAAGCGUGUCAAAGUUGGACGAAACAGUUUUGGUCAGCCUGUUGGAUCAGAAGCUCGAAUUUUAGCAGGAUACAUGGGCAUUUUAGCACGAAAUGCGAAUAUGUUGCCUAUCAACUACGAGUCAUGGCAUCAAAUGCCCGAUAGCAACAAAAACCAAGCCCUCGAUAAUAUUAAGGCGAGGUUUGCUUUGGAGGUCUCGGAUGCUUAUGUAAAGAAGGCAUUAGGAAAAAGAUGGAGAGACCAUAAAAGUACUUUAAAGAAAGAUUAUUAUAAUACAAAAACAACCCUCAAAGAGAAAUUGCAAAAUGUCCCGCCGGGUAUGCUGAGGUACCAAUAGGAAGAUGCGGUUAGAUUUUGGCAUUCGAAGAAAGGCGAGGAUCGUGAACGAGUUGGAAAAAGCAGCAGGCAGAAAAAAAAUUCACUCACACAGCCGGGUCGAGAAGUUUUGCAUGUGUAGCUGAGGCGAAGGAACUAUCGUCCGGUUAAAAAGUUGGACGCCUUCAACUUUUUGAAAUUACACAUAGGAAGAAAGAUGGAUCUGCUAUGAAUCCUGAAGCUGGUGAAAUUAUGG